rnacentral:piRNA from 1 species
GACACAGGGCCUGCUUUGUAAAGUAAGUA